rnacentral:tRNA from 1 species
ACCUGGCAGACUCAGCUGGAAGAGUAUUUGACUCUUGCUCUCAGGGUCGUGGGUUCAAGCCCCAUGUUGGGUA